GAUGAACGCUAGCGGCAGGCUUAACACAUGCAAGUCGAGGGGUAUAGUUCUUCGGAACUAGAGACCGGCGCACGGGUGCGUAACGCGUAUGCAAUCUACCUUUUGCAGAGGGAUAGCCCAGAGAAAUUUGGAUUAAUACCUCAUAGUAUGUGAGAAUGGCAUCAUUUUCACAUUAAAGUCACAACGGCAAAAGAUGAGCAUGCGUCCCAUUAGCUAGUUGGUAAGGUAACGGCUUACCAAGGCAACGAUGGGUAGGGGUCCUGAGAGGGAGUUCCCCCACACUGGUACUUAGACACGGACCCGACUCCUACUGGAGGUAGCAGUGGGGAAUAUUGGAAAAUGGGCGCAAGCCUGAUCCAGCCAUGCCGCGUGCAGGAUGACAGUCCUAUGGAUUGUAAACUGCUUUUGGACAGGAAAAAACACUGGUUCGUGAACCAGCUUGACGGUACUGUAAGAAGAAGGAUCGGCUAACUCCGUGCCAGCCGCCGCGGUAAAAC
rnacentral:rRNA from 1 species